GAUAAAGUGAGGGAGAUGAGCUGCAGGUGAAUGAGAUCAAGGCAUUACUAGGAAACAGUUCGGAACUCAGAUCCUCCAAAGAAUGUCUCUGUGUCCAUCAGUCCCUCUGGUGAAAUAGUGGAGGGCAGUUCAGUGACUCUGACCUGCAGCAGUGAUGCAAACCCACCUGUGAAGAACUACACCUGGUUUAAGGGAUCAACAUCAGUAGGCAAAGAAAAAAAUUACAGCAUUCCCAACAUCAGAUCUGAGGACAGUGGAGAAUACACAUGCCAGAGUCGGAAUGAUAAUGGAGAGAGAAACUCCACUGCUGUGUAUUUAAAUGUUUUCUAUCCUCCAAAGAGUGUCUCAGUCUUCAUCAGUCCCUCUGGUGAAAUAGUGGAGGGCAGCUCAGUGAAUCUGACCUGCAGCAGUGAUGCAAACCCACCUGUGAAGAACUACACCUGGUUUAAGGGA